GCAGAUCUCACCCGUGGGUAAUGAGCCCAGAGAGAUCAGGGAUCAGGAGAGGUCUGCCACAGCAGCAAGGAGGCUUCCCCGGGGAGGCAGUGACAGUGACUGGCUGAGGCUUGAAGAGGAGCUACCUGCCAAAAUUUGGAAACUGCACAAAACACUCCUGAAGCCAUAGUUCACCUGGGACCAGCCAGGAAGAUUAGCCCUGAGCUAACAUCUGCCAAUCCUUCUCUUUUUGCUGAGGAAGACU